GAAAGGUCUUUAAUGAGUUGUAUGAAAUCAAUGUUGGAAAUGAAAAGAAUGUUGUUCUCAUUGCUUCAUUGCUGCCCGUUGAUCUAUCUGCUAGAGAUCGUGAGACUAGUUUCGUCAAGAAACUAAGAUCAGUUAUUCCUGGGGAAUAUGUGGAUUCCAUAAGGAGAAUCUAAGGAUAGUUACUAAGCCGGUGAAUAUCAUCCAUUAGCAAUCUGCUGAAAUUCAAGGAUUUUGGUUGGUUUACAUGCUUUUCUCAGUUAUGUUUAUGAUGAAUUGUGAAGUGCUCUUCUAAAUGAUCAGGGCCAUGAACAAUCAUGUUGCAUGCAGAGAUUUGGGAAAACUAAAAGAGCUUCUUUUCAAGCUUUUAGGUGUCACCUCUGCUUGCUAUCAUUUCUAUUAUGAAGAACUGAAUGAUCAAUUUGCAUUGGAGAACAAUGACAGAGACUGAAAAGAAGGAUAUUCAUCCAAAGCUUUGGCGGGAUGUUGAACUCUGGAAUUCAAAGCGAAAAAUCUGAUUUCCCAUUCCUAGGCAUCAUGAAAAAAGAGGCAGAAAUAAGAGAGAGAUAAUUUCCCUAGAGCUUGUUCAGUAUUAGCUUUAUUAGAAAUGCAUCUUUAUUGUCCAUGUGUGCGUACAGCAUCCUUCUGUUUACAAUUCAUGAUAAGACCAAGUUGUGUUUGCUAUAAAUCAUUUUCUUUUGAAAUAAUAUAUUUGCUGCGAAUCAUGUGUCUUAAACAAAGUUCUUUUGCUAUGUAUGGCAGAAAUAAAUUUUUUUUUGUCGAGUUCAUUAAAAAUUUACACAGAUUAGAAGGGGUGAAAGUUUUAAUUACAAGAAUAAAACUUAAGGUCACAGGGAAUUCUAGGUGAAAUUGGAAUCUAAUAGAAUUUGUAAUGCAGUAAUUUAAUUUUACUUGGAAUUUCAUAUGAACUCAAUUUCUAUUACUUAUAGAUACGAUUUUCAUACAUUUCUAGUUAAAUUAAGAAUAUCUUUUUUCUAUAAAAAAAUAUUUAGAUCUAGACAGAGAUUAGGAAAUUGGAAUAAAGUUAGGACUAUGAUUCCUAGAGUUAUGAUUAGUUUUGUAUUAGGAAUUGAACUUAUUUCAGAAAAAAAAGUUAGGAAUUGAAAUAAAACUAGGACUAUGAUUACUAGAAUUGUAAUAGGGAUCUAAUUGUAUUAGCUUCUCCACAACUACACAUAUUAAUCAUGAAUAAAUUCAUCAAACUAUUAAUUCAAAGAGUUGUUCUUUAAAAGAUCAGAGGUUUUGUUAGAUGAGCCUCGCCAUAGGCUGGUGAGAAGCAAGCAGUCUGCUUGUUUCAGGAUUUCACACUAGCAUGUUCUAUGACCAGAUCCAGAGCAUGAGACUCUGACAUAUCCCUGCAUGGUGAAUAUUAGGUGGAGAUUCAAAAUGGUCUUUUUUGUAUUUGAUGUCUUUAAGACACGGCUUUUUCCCAUGAACUGAAUAUUCAUUGUUCUUGGUGGAAGAUGUACCCAUGAGGUUCUGCAAGUUGUGAUGCUUUAUUUUUUGUGAAUAAAAUACUAAACAUUGAAGUUUUCACAUUUCAUUUGAAACCUCUUUUUCUUGAAAUCUCUGUUGGUAUUAUUUUGCUGACUCUCUCUUCCACUUUCUCUCUCUCCUCUGAAUGAAGAUCUCUUGGUUUUCGAAAAGCUUGUAUAUGGGGUCAAAUUUUUUGUUUAUCUAAUGUGUAUAAUAUAUGUAGUGCUUGUUACUGCAUUUUAUUUAUGAUUGUAGUUCAACACUCCUUAUUUGCUGGAAUGUUGCAGGUGCUGGAUGUGUAAUCUGAGGUAUGAAGAUUCCAUCAGCAAGCUUAUCAAAUAGGCAAUAGUUGUAAGACUAUAGCAGAGAAGUAGUUAUUAUUCACAGAUAAGUAAAUACAUGUUUCUGAGUGAAUCAUAUUGUUGAGAGUACCUGCUGGAAUAUGCUGAAACACUGAAGUUAAUUUCACUCUAAGACGAUCAUUGGGCUGAAAUCACUUCAUUAGAAAUGAUAAGACUAAAAAAAAAAAAUGCACUUUUGUAUUUUCUAAUAAACUGUUUUUUGUAUGUAACUGUCACGCACACGCUCAUACCGAUGUACAUAUGUAUUUUGAUGUAUUAACAUGUACAUAAAAAAUAAGAAAUAUUUUGCAUAGCCAACAUUGUUUC